GAUGCCCGUCACGGCUGCUGCUCGCUGUUGGAAAGCCGAUUUUUAUUCGACUACUAAUCCCUUCUUGCAAUCUGCAUCCAGCACUGUGUCACAUCCACUCUGCCCUGAUUCCCGUCCUCUGAUCGGGACGGUACACGGCGCCCGUCCAGGUGGCUUUUCACAAAAAUAACCUGCGGAUUAUUCUUUCGCCAGACUACCAAAAUAAAAAAAAAUAUAUAGACCACAAGUUGACAACUCGUGUUUGCCAUGGCCCAUUGAGACAUCACGGAGCGGCACAAUGCGGAAAGGCCCCGCGGUGUGAAGUGAAAAUGUGUCGAAUAUCUCCUCUCAUGUGGCCGUGUUGCUAUCCUUUUUGAACUUGUUACCGCCAGAGAGAGAGAGAGAGAGAGAGCAGUAGUUGGGGGGGACAGACCGCCGAGCAGGACCAUGUUAGAAGCACUGGGUGUCCUGGUGAGCAUCAUGUUGUUGAAAGCCAGUGGGGAAAUUCCAUUCGUUGCAGAAAAUGACGCGGCCAUGGUCGUCAAUUGGAAUGCAGUGGACGGAAACAAGAAAAUAUUUGCAAUAUAUGACACAAGUAUAACAGAUCGUACUAUGCAACGUGCAUAAGGGAAAUUGAAUAGGGCGAGGAACAUAAUGUUACAAGUGCAGAGAAAAGAGACGUCAACAUUAAAUUAAAAAUUUGA